AGUAGAGAGAAAAAAAGACCACUUUUAUUUUAUUUUUGAGACAGGGUCUCGCUCUGUUACCCAGGCUGGAGUGUAGUGACAUGAUCUUGGCUCACUGCAGCCUUGACCUCCCAGGCUCAAGCAGUCCUCUCACCUAAGGCCCCUAGUAGCUGGGACUAUAGGCAUGUGCCCCCGUGCCUGGCUAAUUUUUAAAUUUUUUGUAGGAACAGGUUCUCACCAUGUUUCCCAGGCUGAUCUCGAACUCCUGGGCUCAAGUGAUCCCGCCUCUGCCUCCCAAAGUGCUGGGAUUACAGGUGUAAGCCAUUGUGCCUGGCCAAAGGCCACUUUCAAAUGAGCAGCAAUUCUCAACAAAAACAACUGAAGACAACGAAAUGGACAUUUUAAAGUGCCGAAAGGACUCUACUAACCUAGAAUUUUAUACCCAGCAUUAAUCUUUUAAAAUGGUGGGGAAAUAAAGACUUUUUUUUCAGACAAACAAUACCUGAGAGAUUUCAACAAUAGCUGAGAGAUUUCAUUAUAAGGAUAGAUACGUUGAAAGUAAAAGGAUAGGAAAAGAUAAACAUGCAAACACUAAAUGAAAGCUGGUAUAGCUAUGUAAGUUUUUGACAAAGUACACUUUAAGACAGAAAGCCUUACUAGAGAUAAAUAGGGACACCUCAAAAUAAUAAAAGAUUUUUUAAAAAAGGUUCAUUUAAUAUGAUACAGUUCUUUUUUUUUUUUCUUUUGUUGAGACGGAGUCUUGCUCUGUUGCCCAGGCUGGAGUGCAGUGGCACAAUCUCGGCUCACUGCAAGCUCCGCCUCCUGAGUUCACGCCAUUCUUCUGCCUCAGCCUCCCGAGUAGCUGGGACUACUGGCGCCCACCACCAUGCCCGGCUAAUUUUUUUUUUUAUUUUUAGUAGAGACAGGGUUUCACUGUGUUAGCCAGGAUGGUCUCGAUCUCCUGACCUCGUGAUCUGCCCGCCUCAGCCUCCCAAAGUGCUGGGAUUACAGGCGUGAGCCACUGUGCCUGGCCAAUAUGAUACAGUUCUAAAUGUUAAUGCAACUUCUGUAACCUCUAAGUACAUAAAGCAGUAUGGGCAAAAGAUGAACAGAUGCUUCAAAAGAGUUUAUCCCAAUGGCCUGUAAGAGAAAUAAGCACCCUUAGUUAUUAGGAAAAUACAAACUUAAAAUGUAAUGAGACACCACUACAUACCCUGAUACGGUUGGCUCUGUGUCUCCACCCAAAUCUCAUCUUGUAGCUCCCAUAAUUCUCACGUGUUACGGGAGGGACCCAGUGGGAGAUAAUUGAAUCAUAGAGCAGGUCUUUCCUGUGCUGUUCUUGUGAUAGUGAAUGAGUCACGUGACAUCUGAGGGCUUUAAAGACAGGAGUUUAUCUCCACAAGCUCUCUCUUUGCCUGCCGCCAUCCACCUAAGAUGUGACUUGCUCCUCCUUGCCUUCCACCAGGAUUGUGAGGCUCCCCCAGCGACAUGGAACUGAGUUUGCCUGUACAAACUCUCUUCACCUGCCGCCAUCCACGUAAGAUGUGACUUGCUCCUUCUUGCCUUCUACCAUGAUUGUGAGGCCUCCCCAGCCACGUGGAACUGUGAGAUCUCCAUUAAACCUCAUUCCUUCGUAAA